AAGCCUUCACAUCCUCUUCUAGAACACCCAGACACACGCACACGCACACACAUUGAAAAGGGAGAAGAACAGACAUAGCAACGGAGAGAUGCGAGAAAAUUGGUAGCCGCCGUAGUCCCUUCUCUUCUUCACUUACUCAUUUGUAAUUACACAGAUUUUGCAUCUUCAUGUUUUGGAGCUCCAUUUUUCAGAUCAGUCCCCAUAACUUCAUUAAAAAAUAUUGAAAGAAUCUUGAGCAAGGAAAGCCAAAUUCAGCGUCACCCAAAAUGACCAUCCAAGUUCCAAUUUGAGUCAAGCUCCGACGCUUCUACCUAAAUUACGGCUUCAUUUUGUUCUUUCACAAAACAACAGCUUUAUAUUUUUUCUUUUUCUUUCUCUCGCUAUUAUAAAGAUCCCUUAAAAAUUAACAAAGCUCUGUUCCCAUCAAAAGCUUCCGUAAGUUGAGUGAAUCCAGUGAGUUUGAGGUGUAGGUUGCUUAUGUCUUAGCAGAAACAGAGGAGUCGAGGAGGCUCCGUUGGUCUUGUAAGUUCUAAAAAUUCAUUUGAGGUUAUUUUUAUGGUCCGCGGAUCAAUCUCUUGCUGCUGUUGCAUUUUUCAGUCAGAUUUCUAUUGUUGGGUUCGCUGUAACUGAAUUCUCGUUAAUAGAAAGGAAAGCUUAACGAGGUCCAAUUCUCUUCACUGAUCCUACUUGAUUUUUCUAUUUGUGUUUUCUUAUUUCUAAUAUCUUUUUUAUCUUAAUUGUUCCGUUGUGAUUGCUGCGUAAAUAAUUCUUGAUUUCUACUUGAGUGAGUGAAAAUGAUUUCACGAUUUCGCUAGAAAUUCAAUUUGUUUAAAUUUGAAAGUACUACUGUAUUAGAAAAAUGGACAAUUGUGAUUUGAUUACAACUUUGGAUGAUAACUGGAUCAUAGGUGGUUGGGGUUAAAUGCACAUAAUUCAACUUUAGAUAUUUUAUUAUUUAUGUUAUUUCCUUAUCACUUUCAUAUUAUUCGUUAGAAGCAUAUUUAGGCCGAUUACACUCGGGGAGACAAAUCUUAGGUCAUCUUUUUUAUUUUCUUUGCUGAGGUGAGAGGUUGUUCCCUUUAGCUUAUAUUCAAGGGAAUGUCCCAUAGACUUUGUAAAUAUUUUAUAUCCGGGGAAUACCCGAGGUACAUGUAAAUGAAGGUCAAGGAGGAGACGAUAUGACCAUGGAGGCGUAGUACGGUAUCUCUAUUUUUCCUCUUAUUUUAUUUUUUUCUUUAUCUAGGUGGGGAAUAACCUCGAUCUUCUUGUGUGUUUAUUUUCUUUUAAUUGUGUUUUUGCCUCAAUUUGAAUAUUUUAAAAGCCAACUAGAUCGAGUACGCAAUCGUGACUUUCACGGGACUUGGAGAGUGCCUAACACCUUCUCCCCGAGUCAAAUGAACCCCCUUACCCGAAUCUCUGGUGCAGACUUAGUUUUGGGGUCUAAAGUGUUUUAAAAGAAAAAUUAUUUUAAAAACGGUGACCUGGCACAUCGAAACCAAUGUCAGGUAGCGACUCUAAAAAAAAUUCUUUUGAACACAAUUUUUGUGACUUUUUUAAUUAAAAACCUUUUUUGAGCUUCACAAAUCUCUUUUAUUAUUUUUAAGAGGAUUAAGUGAGGUCGAAAAAAGGAGUGUGACAUGGGGGUUUGAUUUCAUAAUCCAUUUUUGGACCUAGAGAGCUCGAUUUGUGGCGAUUUUCGGGUGAUUUGCACGGAAAUCAUUGAGGUAAGAAAUCCUAACUCGCUUUUGAUUAAUUUACACGAAUCUAUUGUUAAUUUCAUCUUUUAAUUAGUGAUUUGAGUUGGAAAUUUAUGAAACUUCAUAGGCUAAAAUUUAGGGAUUUGAAAGGCGAUUUGAGGUCGGAUUUGAGUAAUUUUUAUAUGGUUGGACUCAUUAUCGAAUGGGUGUUCGAAUUUUAUAAUUUGGUCGGGUUCCGAGACACGAACCCGCAUUGACCUUUUGAGUUGACUUUUUAUUUCUUUGCAAAGAUCAUAAUUUUAUUGUUCGAAAUAGUUUCCUAUUGUUUAUAUUUAUAGAAUGAAUUUGUUUCUGCUAGACUUGAGCCAUUUAGAGUUGGACGAGGGAGAGACCUAGUAGUAGAUUGAGUUAGCGUGAAUUGAGGUAAGUGACUUGCCUAACUUUGUGUAGGGGGAAUUAUCCAUUAGGAUUGGUGUUGUUUUUGAUAACUGUGAUGUGUAAAAGUUGUGUACACAAGGAGACGAGUAUGUGCACGAGCUAAAUGUGGAAAAUCACAGAUUUUAGCUGUGUAGAUUCCUUUCAUUCCUUAAUUGAGUUACCUUAACAUGUUAUAGUCAUCAUUUCUAGUCUAUUUUUACAUGUUCUACUUGUGUUAUCUCUUAUUUGUUAAUUACCCUACAUGUUUAGUUGAAGUUGCCAUUGUUUCCUCUAUUGCUUAUUCAUUAUUUAACUAUGGAUUCUUUACUUGAG
rnacentral:lncRNA from 1 species